rnacentral:tRNA from 1 species
GUCCCUGUAGUGUAGUGGUUAACACGACUGAAUUUGAAUCAGGAGAUCUCGGGUUCGAGUCCCGACGAGGACA